CAGCAGCCACGGGAAUACGUAGGGUGCAAGCGUUAAUCGGAAUUACUGGGCGUAAAGCGUGCGCAGGCGGUUCGCUAAGACAGAUGUGAAAUCCCCGGGCUUAACCUGGGAACUGCAUUUGUGACUGGCGGGCUAGAGUAUGGCAGAGGGGGGUAGAAUUCCACGUGUAGCAGUGAAAUGCGUAGAGAUGUGGAGGAAUACCGAUGGCGAAGGCAGCCCCCUGGGCCAAUACUGACGCUCAUGCACGAAAGCGUGGGGAGCAAACAGGAUUAGAUACCCGAGUAGUCCCUGUCUCUUAUAC
rnacentral:rRNA from 1 species